rnacentral:rRNA from 1 species
GAUGAACGCUGGCGGCGUGCCUAAUACAUGCAAGUCGAGCGAAUGGAUUAAGAGCUUGCUCUUAUGAAGUUAGCGGCGGACGGGUGAGUAACACGUGGGCAACCUGCCCCUCACUUCGGGAUAACUCCGGGAAACCGGGGCUAAUACCGGAUAUGACCUCCUUGGGCAUCCUUGGAGGUGGAAAGUUUUUCGGUGAGGGAUGGGCCCGCGGCCUAUCAGCUUGUUGGUGAGGUAGUGGCUCACCAAGGCGACGACGGGUAGCCGGCCUGAGAGGGCGACCGGCCACACUGGGACUGAGAUACGGCCCAGACUCCUACGGGAGGCAGCAGUGGGGAAUAUUGCACAAUGGGCGCAAGCCUGAUGCAGCGACGCCGCGUGAGGGAUGACGGCCUUCGGGUUGUAAACCUCUUUCAGCACCGACGAAGCGCAAGGGACGGUAGGUGCAGAAGAAGGACCGGCCAACUACGUGCCAGCCGCCGCCGUAA